CAGCAGAAGAAGAAACUACUCUUGGAACAAGCCUAUCUAUCGGCUGCCGCCAGAUUGUUUGACUUCGAGAUCGUGUCUCAACCACACGGGGUGAGAACUCAGGUUCUCUAUGAGGGGUGUUCAAAGUAGUAGAAGCCUGUGGCUCUGUUUCUAUUUCAACAGGCUCUGUUUCUAUUUCACCUGAAGUAUCACUAGUGCAGGGAGCAAGAUGGUUUGACAUAGCUGAACACUCAUUAGCAUCUGCAUGUACUCCUUGAGGAAAAUUUCCAUUAGCAAUUGCACUGGAGGCUGAAGCAUUUCUAUGGUGGUU
rnacentral:lncRNA from 1 species